rnacentral:rRNA from 1 species
ACUGUCAGACUUGAGUACACGCAGCGCAGGCGGAAUUCAUGGUGUAGCGGUGAAAUGCUUAGAUAUCAUGAGGAACUCCGAUCGCGAAGGCAGCCUGCGGGAGUGUUACUGACGCUUAAGCUCGAAGGUGCGGGUAUCGAACAGGAUUAGAUACCCUGGUAGUCCGCACAGUAAACGAUGGAUGCCCGCCGUUGGCGCCCUGCGCCUGCGGCCAAGCGAAAGCAUUAAGCAUCCCACCUGGGGAGUACGCCGGCAACGGUGAAACUCAAAGGAAUUGACGGGGGCCCGCACAAGCGGAGGAACAUGUGGUUUAAUUCGAUGAUACGCGAGGAACCUUACCCGGGCUUGAAUUGCAGUCGCUGCCCACAGAGACGUGGGCUUCCCUUCGGGGCGUCUGUGAAGGUGCUGCAUGGUUGUCGUCAGCUCGUGCCGUGAGGUGUCGGCUUAAGUGCCAUAACGAGCGCAACCCCCUUUCCCAGUUGCCAUCGGGUGAUGCCGGGCACUCUGGGGACACUGCCACCGCAAGGUGCGAGGAAGGUGGGGAUGACGUCAAAUCAGCACGGCCCUUACGUCCGGGGCUACACACGUGUUACAAUGGCCGGUACAGAGGGACGGUGUAACGCAAGUUGCAUCCAAUCUUGAAAUCCGGUCCCAGUUCGGACUGGGGUCUGCAACCCGACCCCACGAAGCUGGAUUCGCUAGUAAUCGCGCAUCAGCCAUGGCGCGGUGAAUACGUUCCCGGGCCUUGUACACACCGCCCGUCAAGCCAUGAAAGCCGGGGGUGCCUGAAGUUCGUGACCGCGAGGAGCGACCUAGGGCAAGAC